ensembl:lncRNA
GGGGGGGGGGGGUGGGGGAGAAGAAAAUAAGGUAAUCUUGAAGUGAAAGAAUACCAAGUUUGUUUUUUGUGGAGAAUGUACAGAAUUUACACGUACAAGGUUAGUUUUGUUCUCACCUUACUGCUUUAUUGAAUUGGUUUCUAAGAGUAGGGCAGAAUUUGUACAAGAAAUGUAGUUCUAGUUCAUAGGUGGUGUAUGGUUUUAAGACCAGAACAACUGGGUCUGCUGACCUGCCUCUAUGUCAUCCGCUUUCUCAGUUUUGAAGUCUGAAGCUUGUGUAAGAUGUUUUUUUUUUUAAGGAAGGCUUUGCAUGGUCCCAAUUAAUGGAACAGCCACUAUGUCUACUGAUGCUUUUCCAACCAACUAUUGCCUUCAUAGUGGGCGUUUGUGUUUCUAUUUUUAAUUUGCCCGCUUCACGCCAUUCAUUUCUGUUCUGCUGAUUUGUGAGCUAAAAGAGUCACCUAGCACCUGUUGUGUAGUCAAGUCAUCUCUGCAUCUUCCUUUCAAGGAAAAAAAAGAUUGAAUUUGAGCACUGCAUUUUCUACCUUUUUCAGAUUUUUUUUUUUUUUUUUUUGGCAAUUCACUUAGGCGCCUUACCUGGUGUGAAUAACAAAUGUAUUUGAUAAGGCAGCCUGGCAGAUUCUUGAGCGUGGAUGCAUGAAUGUGGCCCAGAGGAUUCAUGUAGGGGUUCUGAAAAAAAAUCCCUUUUGCCCAAAUUGCCAUGCUACUCUGGGCAGUGUUUUCUAGCAGUAGUUUUCAGUGCUAAUUCUUCAUUUGUCUGAAGCGCCUUUCUAUAGGUGUGCGAUAGGGAUCACUGAAAGCACUUAAUUGCAGGGGACAAAGCAGACACAAGUGUAGCUGAAAAGAUCAGACUACUCAAAUGUCUUCCCAAAGUUUCACUUCUGAGCUAAUCAGUGUGCUUCUUUGUGAGCACAAUUUUUUGUAUGCAUGCAAUGUGAGGUGCGCUUAAGUGUUUUUAAAACUUGACCCCACAGCACUGCCUCACUUCUUCCAGCUUGUAUGAUUGUAUUUUCUUAAUGGAUUGGUGCUUUAAAUCCAUUUCAGAGGACCGGAGAAAAAAACAUUCAGUAAUUUAGAGAGUGAUAAUAAACCAUUAAAACAUAAAGGAAGGGAUAAUAACAACAGCAAGAUAAAGGCAAGGAGCUGCUCUCUGCUGGAUGCUGCUGUUCUUUGACUUUUUAGAAGUGAUUGCAGCUCCUUAUCUCUUCAAUUUGUAAAUAAAAAGCUGAAAUGUCUCUGAACAGCUGCAGACUUAGAAAGCAAGAAGCAACAACUCCUCUGCCCCUAAGUCCUGUAUUUUGAUUUCUUCUGUAGAAUUGCCCCUCUGCUUCUAGCAGUAAGUUGAAGUGGUGCGUUGGUGGAAGGUUAUGAGUAAUUGUGUGUAUCGUUCCUUACAUUUUCCCUAUACGUUUCAUUUCUCAGCUGUAAGAAGUCCGUUUCCUUUGUCUACAUCAAAGCUGCAGUGAUCUUUCUGACUACAAAGUGGCUGUGAGCGUGUUUGGUAAUAUGAGGAGAUGCACAGAAUACUUACAGCGAACACAGUCCACGUAACACAGAAAUGAGGUGAAGUUUAACUUAAAUUUUGGAAAAAAUGAUUACCAAGCUCAGGUGGAUCAACAGCACUGUUGUAUAUAACUGGACUACUUCCCUUCCUUUUUGGAGAUGUGAAUAUGUCUCUGGCUUCUUGAUAAGAGGGAAGUUCCUUUCUGUUUGCUCCAGAGCUUGAUCUGUUCUGACCUAGAGGUGCCAGUGCAAACUCCCUUGACUUGUUUUGGACACCAGUAGGUGCCUGAAGAACAAGACUGAGGUUUGUGUGGAUUCAGCAGGUCCUGUGAAAUAAUGGUUUUAUCAUUAUUUUUAAAUAUGCAUAACGUCCAGAUGAUUGAAUAAUGAUACAAACAAAACAGGUAAUUUGAUUAGGAAUAUCAGUUGAAAUUGCCUAAAAUUUGCCGUUCUUUGCAGAGCUGAAGUUCACUUUGUGAUAUUUCAGUUUCAGUAAGACGCUGAAAGAGCCUUCGUUUCUAAGACUGUUGUAAACAUUGCUGCUAAUAAAAUUUUCCAGAAGAGA